UUAACAGCUUUGUUUAAUUCGAGUAUCUUUACUACACCCGCGAGAGACGUCUGCACUGUAUCGCAUUACACGCUUCAUUGAUUUUUUUUAAAACAACACACGACGCUUGGAUUUGACUACCCACUUUAAGUCUUCAUAAAAGCAGGAAAAAAGGCGUAAAUUAAGAACAUUAGUCGAAGUGGUUAAACUGUUGAUACUAGCUCAUUUACUUUAAAAGUGGUCAGAGUCGUAUGCUUAAGAUAUUUUUUGCCUCUGGAAACUUUAAUCACGCUUUAGAUAUACUUGAGAAGAGAAGAUCUUUGUGAGCCGAAUUAACUUUAUAUAGCAGUGUGAUGACUCUUCCACCACUUAUGAUUUUACAAUUCUUAAUUAUCUUGUGCCUUGGGUAUGUAGAGGCAGUUCGACUGGACUACGACCCGGAUGUUAUAUUUCAACUUCAGGAACCUUCAGCAGUUGACGAUCUACCAGUUGACUUUGCAGACAAUCUUGCUGUAAAUCCGUCAAUGGACAGACCACUCAGGAUAGCCAACAAACCUAGUCUAAUCAAACUGUUAUUAGAAGAUCGGGACGAUUUAAUGAAUUACAUUCGGAACAAUCAGAAAGUUAAACGCACUAGACAGUGUUAUUGGUCAGCAGUGUCAUGUUUCUAAAAACAGACACGAUGUUAAAAGUUUAUUAAAAUAACAAUUGUCUAAAUUAAUGGUCAUUGUCUUUCUAUUUCCAUAUAUAAACGAUAGAAGCUACAACUAAAUUUGGGAACGUAUUAUCUAAUUUGACAACUUGUUUUUCAUUUAAAGUUUUUUUUCUCUUUUUUGUAUCAGUUUAUGUAAAAAAAAAGAAUUCUCCUCUA